UGGGGAAUCGUCCAACGGCAGGACUACGGUCUCUGACACCGUCAAUCCAGGUUCGAAUCCUGGUUCCCCAGCCA
rnacentral:tRNA from 1 species